GAUGAACGCUGGCGGCGUGCCUAAUACAUGCAAGUCGAGCGAAAAGACGAGGAGCUUGCUCCUCUGACGUUAGCGGCGGACGGGAGUGUAACACGUGGAUAACCUCCCUAUAAGUCUGGGAAAAUUUCGGGAAACCGGAGAUAAUCCCGGAUAAUAUCUUGAACCGCAUGGUUGAAUAGUGAAAGACGGCUUUGCUGUAACUUAUCGAUGGAUCCGCGCCGGAUUAGGUAGUUGUUAAGGUAACGGCCUACCACGGCGACUCUGCGUUUCCGACCUGUGAGGGUGGUCGGCCACACUGGAACGUGAACACCGACCAGACUCCUACGAGAGGCAGCAGUAGGGAAUCUGCCGCAAUGGGCGAAAGCCUUACAGAGCAGCGCCGCGUGAGUGAUGAAGGUCUUCGGAUCGUAAAACUCUGUUAUUAGGGAAAAACAAAUUUGUAAGGAACUAUGCACGGCUUGACGGUACCUAACCAGAAAGCCACGGCUAACUACGUG
rnacentral:rRNA from 1 species